rnacentral:tRNA from 1 species
GCUUGGGUGGCUCAGUUGGUUGGGCAUCCGACUUCGACUCAGGUCAUGAUCUCGUGGUUCGUGGGUUCAAGCCCCACAUUGGGCU